UUGGGGGGAACCACCUCCAUUUCCUGGGGUUUUGGGGUUCCCACCUCCAUUUCCUGGGGUUUUGGGGUUCCCACCUCCAUUUCCUGGGAUUUUGGGGUGACAGCCCCGAUUUCCUGGGGUUUUGGGGUUCCCACCUCCAUUUCCUGGGGUUUUGGGGCUCCCCUCCCCUGAUUUCCUGGGAUUUUGGGGUUCCCAUCCCAAUUUCCUGGGGUUUUGGGGUUCCCGCCCCGAUUUCCUGGGAUUUUGGGGCUCCCUUCUCCUGAUUUCCCGGGAUUUUGGGGUUCCCACCCUGAUUUCCUGGGAUUUUGGGGUGAACCACCUUGAUUUCCUGGGAUUUUGGGGUUCCCACCCCCAUUUCCUGGGGUUUUGGGGCUCUCCCAUCCCCUGAUUUCCUGGGAUUUUGGGGUGACAGCCCAAAUUUCCUGGGAUUUUGGGGUUCUCCCACCCCAAUUUCCUGGGGUUUUGGGGUUCCCUCCCCUGAUUUCCUGGGAUUUUGGGGUUCCCACCCCGAUUUCCUGGGAUUUUGGGGUGAACCACCUCGAUUUCCUGGGAUUUUGGGGCUCCCUCCCUGAUUUCCCGGGAUUUUGGGGUUCCCACCCCGAUUUCCUGGGAUUUUGGGGCUCUCCCAUCCCAAUUUCCCAGGAUUUUUGGGGUCUCUCCCAAGAUUUCGAGAUAUUUUUGGGGUUCCCUCCCUCCCAGGAUUUUGGGAUAUUUUGGGGUUCCCUCCCUCCCAGGAUUUUGGGAUAUUUUGGGGUUCCCUCUCUCCUAGGAUUUUGGGAUAUUUUCGGGGUCUCUCCCAGGAUUUUGGGGUUCCCUCCCUCCCAGGAUUUCGGGAUAUUUUGGGGGUCUCUCCCAGGAUUUCGGGAUAUUUUGGGGUCUCUCCCUCCCAGGAUUUUGGGAUUUUUUUUGGGUUCCCUCCCAGGAUUUCGGGAUUUUUUCGGGGUCUCUCUCUCCCAGGAUUUCGGGAUAUUUUGGGGUCCCCUCCCUCCCAGGAUUUUGGGGUAUAUUUUUGGGUUCUCUCCCAGGAUUUUGGGGUACAUUUUUGGGGUCCCCUCCCUCCCAGGAUUUCGGGAUAUAUUUUUUGGGUUCCCUCCCAGGAUUUUGGGGUACAUUUUUGGGUUCCCUCCCAGGAUUUUGGGGUACAUUUUUGGGGUUCCCUCCCAGGAUUUCGGGGUCUCUCUCUUCCAGGAUUUCGGGAUAUUUUGGGGUAUAUUUUUGGGUUCCCUCCCAGGAUUUCAGGAUUUUUUUGGGGGUUCCCUCCCAAGAUUUGGGGAUAUUUUGGGGUACAUUUUGGGGUUCCCUCCCAGGAUUUCGGGGUACAUUUUGGGAUCCUCUCUCCCAGGAUUUCGGGGUAUAUUUUUGGGAUCCUCUCUCCCAGGAUUUUGGGGUACAUUUUUGGGGUUCCCUCCCAGGAUUUUGGGAUAUUUUGGGGUACAUUUUGGGGUCCCCUCCCAGAAUUUCAGGAUUUUUUCAGGGUCUCUCCCAGGAUUUCGGGAUAUUUUGGGGUACAUUUUUGGGUUCUCUCCCAGGAUUUCGGGGUACAUUUUUGGGGUUCCCUCCCAGGAUUUCGGGGUAUAUUUUUGGGUUCCCUCCCAGGAUUUCGGGGUCUCUCUCUCCCAGGAUUUCGGGAUAUAUUUUUUUGGGUUCCCUCCCAGGAUUUGGGGAUAUUUUGGGGUACAUUUUGGGUUUCCCUCCCAAGAUUUCGGGAUAUUUUGGGGUACAUUUUUGGGGUUCCCUCCCAGGAUUUCGGGGUAUAUUUUGAGUUCCCUCCCAGGAUUUCGGGAUAUUUUGGGGUACAUUUUUGGGGUUCCCUCCCAGGAUUUCAGGGUAUAUAUAUAUAUAUAUAAUUUUGGGGGUGCCUCACCCGUCUCCCCCAGGGCUCCGGGCUCCAUCUCCAGCCCCUCCUGGGGGUAGAAGCCCUCGUAGAAUCCGGGCGGGGGCGGGGGGGCCC
ensembl:lncRNA